rnacentral:rRNA from 1 species
AGACAGCAGUCGCCGCGGUAAUACGUAGGGGGCGAGCGUUGUCCGGAAUUACUGGGCGUAAAGGGCACGCAGGCUGUGAUUCAAGUCAGCUGUAAAAGGAUGCGGCUUAACCGUGUUUAGUAGUUGAAACUGGAUGACUGGAGUGCUGGAGAGGCGAGUGGAAUUCCCAGUGUAGCGGUGAAAUGCGUAGAUAUUGGGAAGAACAUCGGUGGCGAAGGCGACUUGCUGGCCAGUAACUGACGCUGAGGUGCGAAAGCCAGGGUAGCAAACGGGAUUAGAUACCCCUGUAGUCCCUGUCUCUUAUACA